rnacentral:lncRNA from 1 species
AUAACCUUUCCUGCUACUUUACAGACAAAACAGAAGUGAGGACUCCCCCAGCUGUUCCCACCCCCAGCACAGAGCUGCCACCCACCUCUCCGGCCUGGAUAAGGCUCUGCUUCCUACAAAGUGUCUUCACGGCCACAUUUGCCCCUUCCCCUCCUGGCAGCCCAAGGGCCCUUCCAAAAGCUGAAGUCUGAUGGGACACUGGAGCAUGACUGUGACCCGAGGAGGGAAGUGCAACGUGUGUGUCUCUGUCCCUUGCUGCUCCUUGACACAGUGUUCAAGAUGCUCUAUGAACCCACGAUGCGUCAGUGAUCGGUAAGACUCAAAGUGAGCACAAGUGGUGCAGAUGCUGGAAGUCCUUUGAAGAAGUGAUCCACAAUGGAAUGAGUGUCUGGGACUUAGGCAGUAAGGUCCUUGGUUCUGGAAGAUUUCAAACAGCAAUUAGAAGAUGUCUAUAAGAGAUGCGGUAGAAGAUUCCUGACAUGCGUACAGUGAUCCUCAAGACUCCCUUUAAAGCUAAUAAUUCCAUAACUUUUAGUGGGGGAGUGACAGGUCCACAUUCCCUUCUCUGAUACCACUGGGACCAGAUUAUUCCAGAAUUCAGGACUUUCAUAUCUUAUAAUGUAUGCAUAUAACUUGCAUUAUGUAACACCCCUAGGGGAGUUUGGAAAGCACCCCAAAGCCCAACACACUAGUAUCUCUGGAGAAAACCAUAAGCAGGUGACAAACACAAACCAUGAAAAGCCUCAUGUUAGGUUUAGCUGGGAAACAAACUCAGGGAGGUCAGAUUGUCCCACCAAAUAUGGGAAGUCUUUUGGAAUUUGAAGCUUUUGGACUUUCAGAUAAGGGAUUAUGGAUCUGUUUGUGAACUCUUAAGUCAUUUCACAGAUUGGAAAAAAACAAAACAAAAAUCCCAAACAAUGUAUACAUGGAGGCACCUGAGAUGUCUUUAAAUUUCAUGAUGGGAAGAAAGAAACCAACACUUGUACACUGGUUUAGACCUGAUGAAAGUGCUUGGGGCUCCACUGUCUAUUAGACACUCACCGUGACCUUAUGAACGAAGACGCAUCAUCUCCAUCCUUUGGGGACAGGGAAACUGAAGCUUCCACAGAGCCGGCAUCACAUAGUACAUGCUAGUGCCUGUGUGAGAACACACAGAUUUGGGACUCCAAAUAUCAGGCUUUUUCUAUAACCUCAAAAACCUCCUAAAUGGUGCCCAGUGAAUGUAUUUCAGGCAGUGCUGCCAUUCAGAGGGAUGCCCCCAUCUAGCUGUACUGAAUGUUGGAGUUCUUCCUUUUAGGUGAUAUAUCACCAAGGCCCUAAGUCUGUGGAGGCCUCUAGCCUUAUCCUGCUGCCCCAGAGUGCCCCAGACUCUCCCAAAGUGUAGUAACUGUGCAAAGGGCAGACGCCUGGCAGAACAGGGACCCCAGGGGCUGGAGACUGUACCCUAUUGUAGCUACAUAUUUGGAACAUCACACCUACUAGAAUUGUGCUAAGAUACUGACCAGUCCUUGAGUAUGUUGCCUUCCACCAAGAAGAGAGCACUCCCCUCCCCCAGAGAUGUUCUAUGUGUGUUUAGCUGGGAAGCUCUGCACAGCUGCACGCUGGUAUAUCCAUGCUUGCCUGAGAAUCACAGCUGCCUGGAGCUCUUGGGAAACACAGACUCCUGGGCCCCAUCCUGACCUAUUACAGAAUCAGAAUCUCCUGACACAGGCGCAGGUGUUUUGUGCACAAACGUUCCAGCUGAGUGCCGCCUAGAGUUGGGCAAGUUUGGAGAUCACCGUGGCACUCCAUUUACUUUGGUAAGAAGGAUCUAAUCAACCCAUUCAAAUUUGCAGAGGCAACAGUAAACAACUCUGUCUAGCUCUUCCACAUAAGCACAUUUAGAGACAAAAUUUUCAGCUCUAAUGGUUUCCACAUUUCUUUCCUUGUCACUUCCUCCUUUUGUCAAUGUCAAUGUAUAUGUGUGUAUUUCCAAGGAUGCCAUGCCUUGCCCCAUGUCCUGUAGCAACCGGGCUGUGCCCACCCCACCCAGGCUGACCGGGUGCUCAGUGAGCACAUUCUCCACUGUGCUUCACCCCACCCCAUUGUGGAGAUCUCAGAAACAGUGGGUUCCCCAGGUGACAUUCAACCUCAGAUGUGCAUUUGUCACGCUCAGUUCUAAAUUGGCUUGUUUUGGCAACCACCUGAUGUUUCUAAAUAUGUGUUCUCCACAUGUCCUCUUGCCUGAAUCUUGAGAAAUCUACACAGGAACUGGUAGCCUAGCUACGGAGAGAAGGUUUUUUCCCCUUCCUUUUCCCUUUGAAGCUGCCUGUGGUUGCACCCAAACGCUGCAGAUGCAACCAUGGAUGUGUGCGCUGUAUCCUCAGCCAGCUCUGGGUCAAGAGCCUGCUUGGCGUUUUUAUGUUUCCCUUCUUAUGAAGGAUAAGGAAAUGUGGGGGCAAAUGGAAUCUCUGCUGGGGACAUUUUCAGCCGCCGAUGCCACCAAAAGGAAGUGAAUUUCUUUUCUGUUUAUAUCUCAGGAAAUAAUCUGUCACAUUUGAAAUCAUUUCAGAAAUAUCUACUGCUCAUAAACUUUCUGUUCCUUCAUCCCCUGAUCUGUUGAUUCUGUAACAUUAUAGAGGGAAGGAAGAAUGGAUUAAGCAGCAUAAAAUACCAUAAGUUCCUUAAAAUGAGGAUCCACAUUUUCUUGUAGAAAUGAGCUGGAAUCAAAGCCCAGCAGCUCAUUGUAAUUCAUUGGCUGUGUGACCUUAUAAAAGUUACUUAACUUCUCUGAAUCUUGGUUUUUCUUUACAUAAAAUGGAGAUAAUAAUUGUAGUCAAUUGUAAAAAUGGUCACAAUCUUCCACUCCUCCCCAAAUGCUCACCACUGGCAGUGGGCUUUGCAGUUCCUCCUAUCAAGAAGUGAUGUCCAUUUCCCAUUCCUUUUUAAUUUGCUUUGGUCAAUGGAAUGAUAGGUGCUGGUUCUGAGUCUAGGUUCUAGGAGACGCAUUGCACAUGUCUGUCUUGGAACUCUGCCCAGUUGCCAUGCGAGAAAUCUGGCCUGGCUUGCUGGAGGAUGAGAGACACGUGGAACUGAAAGGAACCAUUCCAAGGAAGGCCAUUCUAAAUCAGCCAGCCUCCAGUCAACCCAGCACUGGGUACAAAGGCAAAGGUGAACCCAGGUAAGGCUAGAAGUAUCUCCUAGCUGAGCCCAAUACAAACUGUCUACCUGCCAAAUGGUAAGCUAUAUAAGUGGUUGUUUAUUUAAAGUCACUAGUUUUGGAGUAGCUUAUUAUGCAGGAAAUGCUAAUAUAAUGUGCUUGUCUUUCAGUGCUGUUGUGUAAACAAAAUUAGGUAUCACACAUGAAACACCUGAAUCCAUACAUACCGAUGAACAGAACUUGUUUGGAUGGAUUGCUAACCCAGCUGCAUAUCCAUAAAUUGCAUACUUCCUGUGUGGAAGAUGUAAGCAUCAGUGUCCAUAGCGUAUAUUGAAAAAUAAAUGCAUUUCCCUAUGAAGAUAUAAUGACACCGUAGAUAGAAUGUUUAAAAGGAACCCAUAAAAUUUGCCUGUUAUCCUACUGCCUCUACCAUAAGGUUCAAAUAUCUUAGUAGGACUGACAAAAUCCUUCAAAGUCAUAUUCCAGCCUCAUCUGUCUUUUUAAACUGUUUCUACUCCUUGUUACCUCCAUUCAUAAUAAAUGACAUCUGAGACAUUCAUUAUGUAAAAUUUCCUUUUAGUUUUGGUCCUUCCUAUGGUUUGGCUGUAUCCCCACCUAAAAAAUCUCAUCUAGAAUUGUAUCUCUCAUAAUCCCCAUGUGUUGUGGGAGGGACCAGGUGGAAAGUAAUUAAAUCACAGGGGCAUGUUUUUCCCAUGCUGUUCUUGUGUUAAUGAGAAAGUCUCACGACAUCUGAUGGUUUUAUAAAGGGCAGUUUCUCUGCACAUGCUCUCUUGUCUGCCACCAUGUAAGACGUGCCUUUGUUUCUCCUUCCCCUUCGGCCAUGAUUGUG